CAACUGCAUUAGCACUGCUAUUUUAAAACUGAAACAAGACAGAGAAGAUAAGUAUGGCCCCUGAGCAAGGAUGACAUGCAAAUUCACGGGGCAUUCUAUAUUAAU
ensembl:snRNA U6 U6 spliceosomal RNA